rnacentral:rRNA from 1 species
CACGUAGGGAGCAAGCGUUGUCCGGAUUUAUUGGGCGUAAAGAGCUCGUAGGUGGUUCGGUAAGUCAGGUGUGAAACCUCCAGGCUCAACCUGGAGACGCCACUUGAUACUGCUGUGACUGGAGUCCGGUAGGGGAGCGUGGAAUUCCUGGUGUAGCGGUGAAAUGCGCAGAUAUCAGGAGGAACACCAGCGGCGAAGGCGGCGCUCUGGGCCGGUACUGACACUGGAGGAGCGAAAGCGUGGGUAGCAAACAGG